rfam:Gossypium hirsutum cultivar TM-1 unplaced genomic scaffold scaffold2318.1, whole genome shotgun sequence
UGUUAAAAUUUUUAUCCAUUUCUACUGUUAAAAACAGGCAUGGCUGACGGAAUAACCAAACAAUUACACGUGGUGUGCUAUAUGCACUUCUUACUGACAUACAGGGAUAAAUUUUUAAUAGUAAAAAUAGAUAAAAAUCUUAACA